rnacentral:rRNA from 1 species
AGUGGCGGACGGGUGAGUAACACGUAGGUAACCUGCCCCGGAGCGGGGGAUAACAUUUGGAAACAGAUGCUAAUACCGCAUAACAACAAAAGCCACAUGGCUUUUGUUUGAAAGAUGGCUUUGGCUAUCACUCUGGGAUGGACCUGCGGUGCAUUAGCUAGCUGGUAAGGUAACGGCUUACCAAGGCGAUGAUGCAUAGCCGAGUUGAGAGACUGAUCGGCCACAAUGGAACUGAGACACGGUCCAUACUCCUACGGGAGGCAGCAGUAGGGAAUCUUCCACAAUGGGCGCAAGCCUGAUGGAGCAACACCGCGUGAGUGGAGAAGGGUUUCGGCUCGUAAAGCUCUGUUGUUGGAGAAGAACGUGCGUGAGAGUAACUGUUCACGCAGUGACGGUAUCCAACCAGAAAGUCACGGCUAACUACGUGCCAGCAGCCGCGGUAAUACGUAGGUGGCAAGCGUUAUCCGGAUUUAUUGGGCGUAAAGCGAGCGCAGGCGGUUGCUUAGGUCUGAUGUGAAAGCCUUCGGCUUAACCGAAGAAGAGCAUCGGAAACCGGGCGACUUGAGUGCAGAAGAGGACAGUGGAACUCCAUGUGUAGCGGUGGAAUGCGUAGAUAUAUGGAAGAACACCAGUGGCGAAGCGGCUGUCUGGUCUGCAACUGACGCUGAGGCUCGAAAGCAUGGGUAGCGAACAGGAUUAGAUACCCUGGUAGUCCAUGCCGUAAACGAUGAGUGCUAGGUGU